rnacentral:rRNA from 1 species
AUGCUGGCAACUAGGAUUGCACCCGAGGUGCAACAACUCAUCUCCCACAGCCAAAGUGCUUUCUUGAAGAACCGCAGCAUUCAGGACAACUUUCUCUACGUCCAAAACCUGAUCAGAAACCUUCACCGGACUAAAAAGAAGGCCAUUUUCAUCAAGCUUGAUAUUGCGAAAGCAUUUGACUCCGUCCGCUGGAGCUAUCUUCUGGAUGCCCUCGCUCAGUUCGGCUUUGGUUAGAGAUUCAGAGACCUUGUUGCCCUUUCUUUGGCGUCAACUUCAUCCCGUGUGCUGCUGAACGGCACCCUUGGUCCUCCCUUCUACCAUAGAUGUGGGUUGCGACAAGGCGACCCUUUAUCCCCUUUUCUGUUCCUACUGGCCAUUGAACCACUACAAGCGAUCCUCUCCAAAGCCUCUGACGCCAAUAUUCUUAGCCCGAUCGCUCAUCGAUCGCCUAAACUUCGCAUUAGCUUGUACGCUGAUGAUGCAGCUCUCUUCAUCAACCCAGUUAAAGAGGAGGUGGCAUCGCUUCUUUCCAUCCUGGCCAUCUUUGGGCAGAUUUCUGGACUGCACACCAACUUCAGUAAAUCUUCUGCCUUCCCCAUCAACUUGGAACCCGAUGAAGCA